GGAAGGGAGAAAGGUAUUUAUGGGGGGGUCAUAAACCUUACCCACAGGCCAACGUCAUGACAGCGGUCCCUUUCUGUGAGCUUGUGUGGCCUACCAGUUUGCGGCUAAGCCGAUGUUGCCCCUAGACAUUACCACUUCACAAUAAAAGCGCUUACAGUUGACUGGGAGAGCUCUAGCAGGGCAGAAAUUUGACGAAGUGACUUGUUGGAAAGUUGGCAUCCAAUGACGGUGCAAAAUUGAAAGUCACUAAGCUGUUCAGUAAGGCCAUUCUACUGCCAAUGUUUGUCUAUGGAGAUUGCAUGGCUUUGUGCUUGAUUUUAUACAUCUGUCAGCAAUGGGUGUGUCUGAAAUAGGCGAAUCCACUAAUUUGAAGGCGUGUCCACAUACUUUUAUAUAGUUGAUACGCUCCCCAUACUGUACUGUCUGUCUGUAAUCAUCCUGCUUGUCUAGCAUGCUUAAGUAACCUAUGCUGCAGAGCUGUCUGACCAAAUCAUUUUACUACUGUAGUUCUUCAAAGUAGAUAGGCUCACAAAACAACCAAACUAAAAAAAAAAUAAAGUAAUUCAACCUAAGUCGGUCAAUUAGUUUAAUAACCGGGGGGGGAGAAAAACCCUGAAAUGUUGGUUAAUCACGAGAAAACUGAACUAAAUCUAACAUAUCACGUGCUACAUUUGAGUGAAAUAUUUCUCUAAAAUGAGGUGGAAUCAGGCUUGAGCCAACACAGGAUCAUCUUGAUUAAAUGUUGGGAACUGUAGUUUUUACCCUCUUUAUAUUUAUUUUAUCAAUAGGCAAUUUGCCUUUGGUUUAACCUUUGCGUUUCAGGUCAUCAUAUUUCAUGGAGUUACUUGUUUAGUUCCAGUAUGCUGAACUAGGCCAAAAUGCAGAUAUUUACAGUUCAAUUGUUCACACGUGUUUGCUGAAGCUUUGGGCCAUUUUCCCAAAACGCUAAACAAACCUCUACAAAUGUAUAGCAAAAGCAAACACUGCAGUCAAAACGGUUUUAGCUCUUUCCAAAAUGUUUUUUUUUGCAUCAAAAUGAUAUGGAAAGAUUUGUCUACCAACACCACACUAAUGUGCUCAACACUACUAUGAAUAUCCCAGCAGUAGGUUUCUGCCUUUUCCAUUGUCAGUGUGACACUAGCCAGUUGUAAAAGAUUGUUACAGUACACCUACGCAAAUAUACAUAAAUAAACACAAACGCAAUACA